UUGACCUCGGAUCAGGUAGGAAUACCCGCUGAACUUAAGCAUAUCAAUAAGCGGAGGAAAAGAAACCAACAGGGAUUGCCCUAGUAACGGCGAGUGAAGCGGCAACAGCUCAAAUUUGAAAUCUGGCUCUCGGGCCCGAGUUGUAAUUUGUAGAGGAUGCUUUUGGCAAGGUGCCUUCCGAGUUCCCUGGAACGGGACGCCAUAGAGGGUGAGAGCCCCGUCUGGUUGGACACCGAGCCUCUGUAAAGCUCCUUCGACGAGUCGAGUAGUUUGGGAAUGCUGCUCUAAAUGGGAGGUAUAUGUCUUCUAAAGCUAAAUACUGGCCAGAGACCGAUAGCGCACAAGUAGAGUGAUCGAAAGAUGAAAAGCACUUUGAAAAGAGAGUUAAAAAGCACGUGAAAUUGUUGAAAGGGAAGCGCUUAUGACCAGACUUGGGCUUGGUUGAUCAUCCGGCGUUCUCGCCGGUGCACUCUUCCAGUUCAGGCCAGCAUCAGUUUGCCUCGGGGGAUAAAAGUAGCGGGAAUGUGGCUCCUCCGGGAGUGUUAUAGCCCGCUGCAUAAUACCCUGUGGCAGACUGA
rnacentral:rRNA from 1 species